AUCUCAUCUCUCUUUCAUCCCUAAAUUUAUUUUAUUUGUUCCUCAUCUUUUUUUUUUCCUGUUAUGAUUCCGUGUUCCGUGUUCCAUGUUUUAUUACGAAUCUGUGUGCUUUCCUCUGUUUUAUAUUACUUAUGGGUGCCGUAUUUAUGUUAUGUAAUCUGCUUCUGUGCUUUACUAUGUGUUUGUGUGGUAUCUCGUGCCUUGAGCCGGGGGUCUAUCGGAAAUAGCCUUUCUACUUCAUCAGAGGUAGAGGUAUGGACUGCGUACAUCUUACCCCCCCCAGACCCCACUAGGUGGGAAUACACUGGGUUUGUUGUUGUUGUUGUUGUUGUUGUUGUUGUU
rnacentral:lncRNA from 1 species